CCCGGGGCCGGAGUCGCUCACCUGACCGCGUUGCGCAGCUCUGCAGGCGGCAGAAACCCACAGGCACCCCGGCUGCCAGGAGCGUGGCUCCCGAGCGUCCUGCAUAGAGAGGAGGGCAGGGCCGGACCCAGCAGAUGGAAGCUACGGGGAGGGCAAUUUAGAUUUAACUGAAGGUGAACAUUCUGCUAAAAGAAGACUGUUCAGGAAACACACACUUUUCAGUUAAGAAGGCAUUGGUACACCUGAAUAGUACGUACAGUCUGAAUGGACACCAAGUUAUUAUUAUCGUCUUUUGAUGUGGUGACCUGCAGUUAAUCCUGGCGUUAGCUUUCGUCUCAUAUAUUUCAUCAUCAGAUCAACCACUCAGUCACAGCAGAGCCUGCAUCAGUUUCAUAUCUACUGAAGAGUUUUCAGGUGGUGCCAAAGUCUGAGGAGCUGCCUUUGUCACAAAUUGUAUAAUUUCAUCCUCAGACCAGUGUGGAGGCUGUGGUGGAACCGUGCUUCAGUACUCUGAGGUCAGCUCCAGUCUUAAACUGGGACUUCGCUUCUCCUCAGAGAGAAUCCCAGGGACGGCUGAAGAAGAGCCCUCCCCCUUUCACAUCGGCUAACAGGCUGUGUGCAACUUGCCUGAUGCUGUGCUGGACCCAGCUCCAACAUGGAAUGGAAACUCUGGACCCUUGCUCUAAUUAUAGUUUGACUGAAACCCCAGCUACACUUCUUCUAUAUGUGGACCAUGGAAAAUAGGAUGUUGGAAACCCAGAGAUGCAAUUCCACAGAAAUAAAGCUUUCUAGCAUAUCUCAUUCUCCCACAGCAGCCUCUGGAAAUGCUUAUUCCAGUGGUACCCCAAGAACCCCACUCCCACUAGCAAUGGGGAAAGAAGAGGCAGACUUUUCUCCAUAACACUUCUUGACUGAAUGGAAAA